UACGGAGGGUGCAAGCGUUAAUCGGAAUUACUGGGCGUAAAGCGCGCGUAGGCGGUCUGUUAAGCUGGAUGUGAAAGCCCAGGGCUCAACCUUGGAACUGCAUUCAGAACUGGCAGACUAGAGUAUUGGAGAGGUGAGUGGAAUUUCCCGUGUAGCAGUGAAAUGCGUAGAUAUGGGAAGGAACACCAGUGGCGAAGGCGGCCUCCUGGAUCUGUACUGACACUGAGGUGCGAAAGCGUGGGUAGCGAACAGG
rnacentral:rRNA from 1 species